rnacentral:rRNA from 1 species
GAAGCCUUUCGGGGUGGAUUAGUGGCGAACGGGUGAGUAACACGUGGGCAAUCUGCCCUUCACUCUGGGACAAGCCCUGGAAACGGGGUCUAAUACCGGAUAACACUCUGUCCCGCAUGGGACGGGGUUAAAAGCUCCGGCGGUGAAGGAUGAGCCCGCGGCCUAUCAGCUUGUUGGUGGGGUAAUGGCCUACCAAGGCGACGACGGGUAGCCGGCCUGAGAGGGCGACCGGCCACACUGGGACUGAGACACGGCCCAGACUCCUACGGGAGGCAGCAGUGGGGAAUAUUGCACAAUGGGCGAAAGCCUGAUGCAGCGACGCCGCGUGAGGGAUGACGGCCUUCGGGUUGUAAACCUCUUUCAGCAGGGAAGAAGCGAGAGUGACGGUACCUGCAGAAGAAGCGCCGGCUAACUACGUGCCAGCAGCCGCGGUAAUACGUAGGGCGCAAGCGUUGUCCGGAAUUAUUGGGCGUAAAGAGCUCGUAGGCGGCUUGUCACGUCGGAUGUGAAAGCCCGGGGCUUAACCCCGGGUCUGCAUUCGAUACGGGCUAGCUAGAGUGUGGUAGGGGAGAUCGGAAUUCCUGGUGAGCGGUGAAAUGCGCAGAUAUCAGGAGGAACACCGGUGGCGAAGGCGGAUCUCUGGGCCAUUACUGACGCUGAGGAGCGAAAGCGUGGGGAGCGAACAGGAUUAGAUACCCUGGUAGUCCACGCCGUAAACGUUGGGAACUAGGUGUUGGCGACAUUCCACGUCGUCGGUGCCGCAGCUAACGCAUUAAGUUCCCCGCCUGGGGAGUACGGCCGCAAGGCUAAAACUCAAAGGAAUUGACGGGGGCCCGCACAAGCAGCGGAGCAUGUGGCUUAAUUCGACGCAACGCGAAGAACCUUACCAAGGCUUGACAUAUACCGGAAAGCAUCAGAGAUGGUGCCCCCCUUGUGGUCGGUAUACAGGUGGUGCAUGGCUGUCGUCAGCUGUGUCGUGAGAUGUUGGGUUAAGUCCCGCAACGAGCGCAACCCUUGUUCUGUGUUGCCAGCAUGCCCUUCGGGGUGAUGGGGACUCACAGGAGACUGCCGGGGUCAACUCGGAGGAAGGUGGGGACGACGUCAAGUCAUCAUGCCCCUUAUGUCUUGGGCUGCACACGUGCUACAAUGGCCGGUACAAUGAGCUGCGAUGCCGCGAGGCGGAGCGAAUCUCAAAAAGCCGGUCUCAGUUCGGAUUGGGGUCUGCAACUCGACCCCAUGAAGUCGGAGUUGCUAGUAAUCGCAGAUCAGCAUUGCUGCGGUGAAUACGUUCCCGGGCCUUGUACACACCGCCCGUCACGUCACGAAAGUCGGUAACACCCGAAGCCGGUGGCCCAACCCCUUGUGGGAGGGAGCUGUCGAAGGUGGGACUGGCGAUUG